rnacentral:misc_RNA from 1 species
GUUUAACCCAUUUAGAUUGCUAGAUUUUAUUCUUCUUCUUCUCAUCUGGGUCCUUGGGUUCUCUUCAAUUUUAGACUGUUUUUUAGGUCUGCUUUUAAGGGUUCCUUUGCUAAAGUUUUGGGCUUUUGCUGAAAUUUUUAAUCUGGGAUCCAUAGAUUUCUAGUGAAUUUUAGGGUUUUGUUGUUGAUUUGAUUGUGUAGCGGUAUCAAGGUUUUGGGAGGCAUUGGUGCAAUUGGCUCUGCUAUCCGGGGAAGUGGUUACUCUCUUAAUCUUGAAUAUAUAUUGAGGGGA